CCGCUUUUGUUGGCGAUCACGAUCUGGGAGGUUGUUCGGGGCGUGUCGUUUAGGCGUUUAGACCAUGCGUAUAAUUCUGUUCUCGGUGCGUUUCCUCCCAUCUGGCUAAGCGAGUUUUUGUCGUAGCUUUUAUUUCAGCAGCUACGAGACUCGAGCCGCGCAUAGUUGAAAGUUAUCAAGCAAGGUUCGCGCAAUAGAGAUAUUUAAUAACGUGCGUGGAGCGCGCGUGAAAAGCGCGCCGCGCCUCUUUCGACCUGAUUUAAAACAUACCACCGGCUCGCGCCAAAAGGAAACGCGAUUCUUGCCGCAACAUCGACAACAUCGGAUAUCUAAGGAUUUCUUCGCUCUCACGAUGCACACCUACCAACGUGAAAUCGAGAAUGCCUCUUAAAACGUUCUCUCGCCUCUCGGUCUAAUCCACGCUAGGAAAAUCUACUGGAACGGAACGCCAUAUCGUUCAUCGUUCUCUUGGAUGCACCAGAAAUACUUUUUAGUUUUUAAGUUUACCCAUUAACAUCGUUGCUGCGCAAAUCGCACGUCUAUCCCGCUUGACGUAUCCGUAUCUAUAGAAGAUAUUAAAUACAACGAAAAGAAAAGAAAAAAAAAAUAUUUCGUGCGUUUGCGGAACAAAACGAAAACGUUGAAAAUAAACGGUAAACCAGAGAAACGAUUAUGGACCCGUCGAUUGAAAUUUAAUCCCUCUCCCUCGUAGCUGUACAACGAGGAAGGGUCUAUCAUUUGGCUUUGCGAUGGGGAAUCGAUCGGUCCUUUUGUGCCUAAAAUGCAGGGCGAAGGGUUGGUACGGCGUUGGUACUGUGACCUUGAACAGGAUACCCGGAGCAGGGCGCCUGCGCGGCCGAAUUCGAUCAUCCCACGUCCGGGGAUCCUUGUAUCGCACCACCUCUCCCCGCGUGUCCCCUCUUUUACCAUGGAAAGUCGCUUUUCACUUUCACGUCCCUUUCUUCCCUUUCAAGUACACGCGCGGCCCUUUCAUGUGACUCGAGUAGCGGGAGGCCCUUGGUGCGCGCGAGAGCACGUGCGUACGCACUUGAGCGUAUCGCAUGCAGCGCUUUCACGAUAAGAGCGAGAGUAAAGACUGAUCGUAAAGAAUGAAAUCUUAUUCUAGUAUCGUCAGCAUUGACAUUUACGACGCGGGAAAAGGGGACGAGAUUUUCGAUUCGUCCUCCUUCUCCGCGAUUCUCGGGUAUAGAAGAAAGAAGAAAGAGUCACGUCUCUCCAUCCCCCUCUUUUCACCAAAGGAUUUUCGCCCAUUGAAUUUCCGUGGAAGCGAAUAAGUUUAUCCUGAGGCCCGAUUCGUUUUAUCACCGAUUUAUUUUUACGCGUUCGAGUCGAUGGAAUUUUUACCUAUUCCGGAUCUUUGAGUCAUCAAACGGAGGAUCUACGUCCGACGCGAACGAUCGUCGGGAAUUGAACGUUUUGCAAACAAGACACGUGGCUUUCAACGGUACACGACAUCGGUCCAGCUCGAUUUAGUCACGAACGACCGCGCGAAUGGUGUCUCUACUUUUUUUUCAAGCGUGACUUUUAUAUCAGCUAUUUAAUCGGGAUCUUUAUUCCAUCGUCUGCUUAGAAACUGCAGAUAUGCUCGCUCCGAGACUUUAUCGCAGCUGGUCCUAGAUAAGAAUAAGCCCGAGUUGACAGACCGAUUGUAAUUCGAUGAUAAUUUUUAAUUAAUCGUUCGAACGUAUUCCGAACGUACUCUGCGCGCUAAGUCAACGAUUACUUUACACUGUAAGAGAGAAGUAAAAAAGAAAGGAGGAAAUUAAACGAACGAAGAUUAAAUUGCGUGGACAAUCUUGGUUUUACUUGAUAAAGUCGUCAACCUUUGUCACCAACCAGACUGUAGAAUUUCGAUAAUGUUCAGCCCAGCCGUGUAUUAGCUUUAGUCGAUAAUCCAACGGAAAAAUCGUGCGCUCGAUGGAACGGAGGUCUGUUUCCACUCGAAGUGAAAUAAGACGAGAUCCCGCGAGCGUGAGAAGCUUGUAAGCCGAGAGUAGAGAAUGGUCGAGGAAUUUCCACGAAGCCUCUUCGAUCGCUCGGCAAGCCCGGGGUCCGGUAGUCGUUAUGUACAUUGGUGGCUCGCAUAAAGGCCACGGAAAGAGCCGAAACGAGACGGAAGGGACCGAAGUGUAACGCCGACGGUCGAGCACGAGCAACCCUCGGCAGGCUGCGACUGCUAUGGCUAUUGACCGAACUUGGCGGACCGGCCGGUCAGCUGUGCGCCGAGCCGCCGGAGAUAUUUUCUCUGGCAGGAAAUCGUCCGCGUAGAUGUAUGAUUCGCGGCCGGUGGCAACGGCAAAGAAAAGCCUGCCGGAGAGAACGGAGUCGUCGAGUGUGUCGGACGAGAUCCGUGGAAAAGUUUGACGCUUCGGCAACGAUCGGCGAAUGUGGAAAGGCAGAAGAAACCCAGAGAGACGAUAUCGGACAGCUAGACAGAGAGUCCGUGCCAAAUAUCGUAGUAUGUGACCGGUGAUUGGACAAGAAAUUCGUGGUGCGACUUAACGCUGUGUGUACUUUGGGAAAUCAUCAAAGAACACUGACUGAUCUCUCGCGACUUUGGCGACCGCGAUCGAGUGAAAGCCGAAAACUUGGAAACGUUCUCCUUAUGCUUGUGAAUGAUGGAAUGAACUUGUACGGAGUAGGAGGACGUCGGUGUGUCACGAAAAAGAGCAGAAGAAAUAUAGAGGAGAAAAAGGGGAAGAAGUUGAAGACUUGGCCCGCGGUUGGUAGUCGGCACGUAGACCGGCUGUACUCGGCCAGCAGACGAGAGUGAAACAGAGAAGCGAAAGAGAGCAAGGGAACGAAACGCGAGAGAAAGAAACAAUAGUAGCGAGGGUAGAAAAAGAGAGGGCGACGAAAAGAGUGAAGGAACGAACGGUGGUCGGGAAAGAGAAAGAGUAUAUCGCAGAGGAAAAAGACAGACUUAUAGAUAGGUGUCGUGCACAUACGUGCAGAAAGUGACGUGUGUACCGUCGUCGUGUGUGCAGGUGUGCGCGUGGUGCAGGCUGCCGGUGCAAAAAGUGCAGUGCCCAGUGGACUUUUCCAUCUCGUGCGUGCGCUGUUUCUGCGAGUAGGCACGUAUAUGCCGGUGUUCCGGUGUGGACUGAUAGGAGAACGAAUAGGACGGUAAGAGAGUUCGAUACUAUGAUUUUCUUAUGCCAGAAGCUCGAUUAAUGAAAGAAAAGUCUCGUUCCAAGUGCAUCGUAGAUUUUCGCAGUAUUGUCGAAAUUCGGCUGUGUCAUUUUGUAGGAAUUGCAAAAUCGAGAAGCAAGAAUCUUUUAGUAUCGAUUUAAAAAGCCUACUCGAAUCGUUUGUCUCGACAGAACGGUCUAUCAAGGAGAAAAGGAUAUACGUGUGGCGACAAAAGAAACGAGGUAAUAAGAUCGUCCGUGACGAACUGCUUUACCGACAGACCCGUUGACUCACUGCUGGUAAGGUGGCUCCAUAGUGAUCUAUCGUCGAGGAAGAACGCCAGGCAGACCGAGGAGACGCAGCAGUCGCGGAUUACUGGUGGUCGUGAUAAGGGCAACCGCGGAUGUGUUCCGUUUUGUGAUCGACGAUUUUUGCGCGGAUCGUUUGAAUCAACGUCUACUGUUUAUUACACAAAGAACGAAGAAUAUGGAAACGUUGUUAAUUGGUUUUAUCGUACGGUCGAUGACCGACUGUGAGAAUUAAAAAAGGAAGAGAAGUCGCCAGAUUCUCGCGCAACGUUACGUGUGACUUGGUGAACUCAUGAGAUUAGCUGAGCACGUUUCUACCAUGAACGACUGCUCCUCUGUUCGUCCCUCGCCGCAACUCGAGAACUACUUUGUAACUAUAUCUAACUCGUCUUGAAUUAACGCACGCUAUCAAGACGGCAGACAGAAGCCGGUUGUUUUACCGCAAUUAACGACGACGAUCGAAGGUUACGAAGAUCCAGAGCACCAAGAACGUCCUUUUUUCGCGCUCUCUAUCUCUCCAUCUCGAUCUUGAAAAGGCAGUGAUCGAUAUCCCACGAGAGACUAAGAGGUUAGAAGAAGUAACACAAAAAGGGCAACAAAGCAACGAAUAAACGUUAACGGGCACGUUUGCUUUGGUAGGCAGAAAUAAUCGGAGAUCGUGGCGCGCGCAUGUCGUUCGAUCCGCGACCGAUUCGAUCUAAAGCGUGCGCGAGCAGAAAAUCUUGUUCGACCGCAUUGGUAAAAUAAUUCGAUCUAAUUGACGAAGGGAACCGCUUUAAGGUCAUCCGGACUUGCUCCCUCGAAUAACCCACGAGGAUCUCUCUUCUCUCGUCUAUACAGGCUCGCGGGACUACGUUGAAAAUCGUUCGGUGUCGUUGCUUGACGAAACCGGUUUCGUUCGGCUCGGCGAAUCUCGGCGUUUAUACAAAGGUCGUGUGUGCGCGCACGAGAGAGAGUGGUAGGAGUGAGAUUUAUGGAAAACGAAUUUACACGAGGUCACACCCACGGGAGCGACUCUCUCUCUCUCUCUCUCUCUCUCUGUUUUUUUUUAUUUUCUCUUCUUUAUCUGUGGUGUCCAUCUAUUUCCACUUGGAGAGUAUAUUAAUAAUAAAGGACGAAGUUGAGGAAUGCAGCUUGAUUCACGUCAUUGGAUCACGUCGUUGGAUCACGUCGACCGAGAAGAAGUUACCCAUUGGAAAUUCGACGGACCUUUUCUCCCUCCUUUACGCUCUCUAUCUCUUUUCAUGCUAAUAACGAGUGGAAUCUUUCCUUCUCAAAGAUAUCGACGUGUUCGACGAUAAGCUAACCAUCGAAUACGAAACGACACGUUUCUCCGCAGCUGAUUGGCAAUUAACAUUGCGGCGAUUGGACAGAGCCGGUUUUCAGCGACGGCUAGAAGAAGCCCUUCGAAUAGAACACAGAGAAAAUCGAGGAUCGCGUGUUAUCGUUUGGCCGUGAGAAAAAAGAAGGGACAUACCGGCGAAUCGACGAAUCACGACCUACUCUACUACUACGUCUGUCUCGGACGAAUAUGCGAUCGCUGAAUUACUCUCUGUCGCGUCUCUGAAAAAGAAAACGAAAGAAAAGAAGAAAGUGUGCAGCGCAGCACAAUCACGGGUACGUUGGUGGCGGCGACAUGCGAAUGACCUUGAAACGCGACUCGACCGAAACGAUCACGUUUUUAACACGCGAGAAUCUGACAACGACGACGAGAACGUUACCGUCUCGGAGGACAGUGGAGACAGGAGAGUAAGUAAAGUAAGUAGUUUGUGUGUGUUCCGUGAGACGGAACCGAAAGGCGGAACCUCGAGAGGAAACCUCGCCAGAGGCAGACGAGGCGAACGCGAAGGCGACGAUGACGGGCGACUCGCGUCGAUCGAGGGAGGCUCAGGACUCGCCGGAAAGUAGCAACUCGAAAUCGACAGCCUCAGUGGAAGCGUUUAAUAAAACCUAGUCGUGGCUGGAGCUUUGAUGAUCGUGAUCGGCCUCAGCGAUGAAGCGGGCGUCGAGUGCAUCCGCCGCAGCUGCUGCGACCGCUGCUGCCUCGCAGGUGCAGCCUGCGGUCAGCUUACACGGCAGGAUACACGAUCUCUUUAGCCCGAUAACGACGGCGAGCUACGCGGACAAGGAGGAAUACGAGAAGCUCGCCGAAACCAAGUUCAGGACAGACACGACCAAAGUAUUGCCCAAGGGAAGCCCGAACGAUGACACUAAAGCUAAAUCCACGGCCAUGUCGCGGCUCUUAGCCGUCGAUUCUGACAAUUACAUGCUUCGCAAAGGCGCCACCUCGGCGAACGCCGCCGUCGCCUCGACGUCCGCCGUCUCCGCGACGAUCGUGCCGCCAACCUCGGUACCGAACGCCUCCACCUCGAUCGCCCCAAAUCUGCAACUACAUCCCAGACAGAUACAGCCGCCGCGUAAUUUUCACGCCAACCUUCUCGCCAUUAACAGCAACGGAGCCUACGGUGAUCUUCAAAGUACCAUUACGAUCAGCGCGGCGACGAGUCCCGCCAACUCUACCAAAUCUCUGCCCACCAACGAGCCAUCGUCACCCCCAGAACCAGUCAGACCUAAAGGAAGUGCCGCGUUGUCCUUGCUCAAACGAUACUCCGUUAACCAGCAACAAACCCACUCUGUCAAUAAUACCACUUCCUCCUCUUGUUCCGCAAAUUUCACGAACGUUCCCGUAAUCCGAAAACAACAAGUUUUGAAGUCAUCGUUGACCGCCUUUGUGGACGAGUUUCGAUCCGAUCCAACGUCGAAAAGCACGUCGAAGGAAUUGCUCGAAAGUUCAGAGGAGUUCGCGCGUCUUUGGCCGAGCGGGCUGUUUCCUUGCGCUAGAACAGCGUCGUUCCAUCAAUAUCUGUGUUCGUGCGAGAAUCUUCUGCGGCAACAAAACGGCGAAACGUCGAUGAACGGUGUCGCGUACGAUCUAGUGACAGAGAAUGGCGUCUAUUCGAAUUCAAUCGGUCACGAGGGCUUCGGUGGUGAUAGCGGGCAGCGUGUCCUUGACAAGGGCGCUGGAGCCGGCCGUGAGCCGGCUGCUAUGCGUAAUCUAUGCUGUUGCAUGUGCGGUUCUCUAUGUCCUCCAGAGUGCCAUGCGUGCUUCCACGUGGUCUGCUCGGAGCACAGCGGGCAGCACCUCUGCCAAUGGAGUAGCAAGGGUCACGCGCUACCGGGCCAGGUUCUCGACAAGGACAAGCCCGUAAGCGAGUGGACGUCCCUAAACGUCGUCGAAUGGAUGGCUGCUCUAAAUCUCUACCGCUAUGCGGAUGUUUUCAAGUCUAAGGACGUCAAGGGGAGCGAUCUUCCUUUUCUGGACCGGGAUAAGCUGAUGAAUAUGGGUAUCAAGGAUGACUUCCACCAGAAGACCAUUUUAGCCUGCAUCGAGGAGCUCUGUCAUGCUACGUCUGCAAGCGCCACGUUGUCAGAGGCGGCCGUCGCGGCUACGCCGAACUCGUCCUCCGGUACCGUGGUCAACGAGGCGAUCACCGGUGGUAGCGGCUCCGUAGCCACCGGCAAUUCGCCUCACACCCUCAUGCCUCAGAGCUUUAGCGUGUUGGAGAAGUGCGAUAAGUGCCAUAAAUACCUGAGGGGCCUGCUGCACCAAGGCUUUCUCUGUCUAGAUUGCGGUCUGGUAGCUCACAGGACUUGCACAGCAACGGGUUUACCCUCCAACUGCAUACCAGUCGACUCGGAAAAUCGUAGCCAUAGAUUUACUCCAGUAUUCGGUCUUGGCCUGUGUUCGCAAUUCGACAUCUCCUCGCGCUCGGCUCCGCUGUUGGUGGAACGAUGCACUAGUGUCUUGGAGGAGAAGGCAUUCGAAGACAGCACGCUGGAUCUGUACAAAGUCUACCACAGUAGUCCUCCCAACGAGCAAACUUUGGAACUGCGGCAAAAAUUAAACGAAGAUGUGUGUAACGCUGAUCUAAGUUCGUAUAGUGCUCAAUGCGUAGCGAGCGUGUUGAAAAAAUUCCUACGAGAGUUGCCAGAUCCUGUGAUUCCUGUACAGUUUUACGACAGAUUUAUAGAAGCAUCCAAUACGAAAAACGAUGAGCAGUGUGCAGCACGUCUGGGACAGCUCGUUUCAGAACUUCCAGAUCAUCACCGUAGUACUUUGUUUCACUUGAUGGCUCAUUUCUGUCGUAUCUGUCAAUUACAACACGGAAGGGGUUACACGGAACCUCCCACAAUCCUUAUACAAGUGCUGUGUCAUAUUUUCGUUAGACCUCCUUGGGAACGGAUCGUACAAAUAGUACAUAAUAUCGAGGCGCAUAUACGAAUAGUGGAGGUGUUGUUGUUGCAUGGUGAUUGGAACGAGAGACUGCCUCAAUUUGCGAGCCCGCCGCAAUUACCACCGCGAAAAGUUUCGAGGCCGCAGUUUCCAGUUUUAGAUCCGUUCUCCGUUCUCGACGAGGAUAAUUCGAUGGACCGAACGGUGUCAGUCUCGGAAAGCAAGGAGUCGCAGCAGCAACCCCACAGGCCACGCACGCUUCAGGAGGCUGAAUGGUAUUGGGGAGACAUCACGAGGGACGAGGUGAACGAGAAGAUGAUUGAUUCGCCGGAUGGCACUUUCCUAGUACGCGAUGCGUCUUCGAAGGGUGGGGAAUACACACUGACGUUGCGUAAAGGUGGGACCAACAAGCUUAUCAAGAUUUGUCAACGGAACGGAAAAUAUGGCUUCUCGGAGCCGUAUAACUUUCAUUCGGUUAUCGAGCUGGUGGAUCAUUACAGGAAUUGUUCCUUGACGCAGUAUAAUUCCACGCUGGACAUUAAACUGUUGUACCCUAUAUCCCGGUUUCAACAGGACGAUGAAAUUGCAAGUACAACAGACAUGGCGAACGUUGCACAGAAAUAUGUAGAACUUGAUAAAGAGAUAACCGACGCGUUGAAAGAGUAUAGAGAGCUUUCGGAAUUGUACAAUAGAACGUCUUUCGAGGUCCAGUUGAAACGGCAAGCGUUAGAAGCUUUUUCGGAGGCUAUCAAAAUGUUCGAGGAUCAGAUGAAAUUGCAAGAGAAAUUUCAGAAAGAAGCUCAACCGCAUGAAAUAUCAACAUUAACUGAUAAUGCCGAGUUGUUAAAACGAAGACUGAAAUCCUUAGAAGAUAGCAGGGAGCAGUUGGACUGCAGUUUGAAGGAACAGAUCGCCUACAAUAGAACUCUGGAAAGAGAAAUGCACAAAUUGAAACCUGAGCUAUUGCAACUCGUACGUCAAAGGGAUAAACAUCUAAUAUGGUUGAAAAAGAAUGGUAUGAAACAGAAUAAAAUAAGCCAACUCGUGCUAAAUCAUUCGUUGUCGAAUCCUUUGUUGGGUGACUUGGCGUACGGAGAUCUUCAAGAAGUGGAUCUUGAAGUUCAUUCUGACGAAACUACUUGGCUAUAUCUCGAAUGUUCUCGGUCUGACGCCGAUCGGAUACUCGCUGAGAGGCCAGAUGGUACUUUCCUUAUUCGAACAUCAAGAACAGGACAAUACGCACUUUCCAUCAUGUGUAACGGUACAGUGAAUCAUUGCAUAAUAUAUGGUACCGAACGUGGUUUUGGAUUCGCUGAACCGUACAACAUCCACAAGAGCUUGAAACAUUUGGUGCUACACUACGCACAGAAUUCCUUGGAGGAACACAAUGAGAGUCUUAACACGACUCUGGCUUAUCCAGCUUUUGCCUCGCCCGCUGCAUUGUCGCAGUUGCAGGCUCAACAAAUGCAGUUACAGAUGAAAAUGCACACGCAAAACCAAUUACAGCUAACACGUCCCCUCGAAAAUCAACAUUACAUGACGCACACGUAAUGCUGGCGUGUCGAUCAAUAGAAUUACAGAAUUAAUUAGGAUGUACGUGUGCAUGAAUGUUUCCAUGAUUAGCAUCGAGGUGUGAUUUAGAAAUUGGAAAUUAACGAGGUGAUAACAAAUGGUUUUUCGAGGAAGGCCCUGUGAAAUUUCUAUUCGUUUUAAUCGGUCGGAGGUGAACGCUUCCUUAAACAAAGUACAGUGGUAUCGAUAACAAAGGGAGAAACAUUGGUAGCGGUAGCAACUCUCAGAAGCUAUAGUUUAUAAUGUAAUUAUAUAACGUAAUGUUACCGUGGCGCAGCAAAUAAUUGUUUCGGUCAACAGGACCACACUGCAUAGAUUUUACAAUUCUCUCGGGGUCUGCAGGCCUUUUUUGACAGAUCUUAUGGAUGAUCGACUGAAAAAAUUUACUUGAGCAAGUUUGCGAGACCCUGAGUACUGUGAGAAAUGAUCUUUUGUUGUCAGUUUGUAUCUUCGAUUUAGGGAGAAUCGUUUGGGUGUUGGAACGUGAUACGACGUUGCAUUUUUCAAGAUGCACUUAUUCGAUCGAAUACGUCAGAGUAACAGAGGCAUAUAUCUAGUCUUACAGGCAAUUUGACGGAAGAAACAAAUACGAUAGAGCAGAACGAAACAUAAGUCUGACCACGCUCAAACUACUCGCAGUUUCGAUUGGUAAUCAGGGUAGUUGCAUUUCGUAAAAAUUUGAUACUAAUCUAAGGUUGAUGGACGCAUCCGUUCUUCUUGGGGUUAACGGAUAAACACAACACAUUUCGUAGACCGCUGUACUUCUGACUUCUUCGAUAAUUUUUUCUGAAUAUUUCCCAGACCUCCAUUUGUGUAACGCGCGGUACGCGAUACGCGCGGGCAUCGUUUAUUGUGAAUGUGAUUCACCAAGUAUAAGAUCUACAACAGUGAUAUUAGAGUAUAUAAUUAGAACGCGUCGCAUAGAACAUAUAACUGAGCCUUUUGGAUGCUUACGGAAUGUUUUUGGUAGCGAUAUACUAAAGUAGCAACAAUCACGGUUGAACAACUGGACGACGAGGCUGGUUUCGGAUAUUUCGAUCCACGCUACUUCCGAUCGAUUUUCGAUUUAAAACGUGCCCGCCCGCGUUGCUUACGAACUUCAUUACAACGAAAAAGAAAAAAGAAAAAAAAAAAAAAUCAAAAACAAAGUUUUUCACGGAUGCGCGGGAACUUUUUUAUAUAUAUAUAUGUUAGAUUUCAAGUGCUGUGCCAGAUCUGUAUAGGCUACUACGCGUGUCGAAACACGCGUAUGUGCUAAAGGAAAGUGAGAGAGAGAGUGUGUGUGUGUGUGUGUGUGUGUGUGAGAGAGAGAGAGAGAGAGCGAGUGGGAGAGAGAGAAAGGGAAAUCGUUUUUCGAAAAGUUAAACAUAUUGUCUGUGAUUUCGGAUUGCCGAGAAAGAAUAUAUAUAUAUAUAUAUAUAUAUAUGUAUAUGUAUAUACAUAUAUAUGUAUAUAUUAUAUCGUGUCUAUAAUUUUCCAAUUGAUUUUUACAAUUCGUUUUUCUUCUCUAUCACUACUUGUUUUUUCCCUUUAUGGUUUACGAAGCGUGUGAUCGUUGGUUUAAUACGCGCGUCGAUUUCGACGAAUAUAGGUAGAAUUAUAAUUGCGACGGAAUGUGCAGAAGCUAAUCGUGAUUUUAUUAAUUGUAAUCUUUUCUUACGUUCGGUACUUCUUUUCUGUGCGUCGUGUCGAGAGUCUUACGGGUCUCGUCGCGCUCUUUUCUCUAUUCGACUCGAUGUAUUGCAGUCCCUGAAACGGCACGAGACGUCGUUUUCAUUUGAUUUUAUCCGUAUUUCCAUUGCACCGAAUACCGGUAAAAUCUAUGCACGCAGAACGCGACGUUCUCGUAAACGUGGAACAGGGUCAUGGAUCUUUUUCUCGCUUUAAAUAUCAAAGCUCAUUGUGCUCUUUGAAUGAUCUCAAAAGGUAACGGUAAUCUCGUCGGUUGGCACGGCAACGAGAAGAAUCACGGUUGAAUCGGUCGCGAUUGAAUCGAUACUCGAGAAAUUUUACGUAUUACAUUGCGGUCCGUAAUCGUAAAAGUGUAUCGAGGGCGAUCCACGCGAACAAUGGUUCCACGACUUGUAGCGGUCACUUGAGUCGAAAACGACGAUUCUUCCCGUUCUCGUUUCUUCCCGCGUGAUUCUCGCUACCGCAUAGUCAAAAGAAAACUGAACCGAUAUAAUAUAACGGAUCGAUGGACGAGCGAGAAACGAUCUCGAGCUUGAAAGAGUUGAAAGCAGCGACGAGCCUCAAUUUCUUUUUUUUUUUUUUUCUCUUUUCUUUUUUCUUUUCUUGGUCGUUCGUUUGUUCGGUAUAGGAUGAUGAAUUUCGAGGAUAGGCAAGAAGAGACGCAAGCGACAGAAGGGGGAAAAACAGACUGUUUAAAGAAGAGAAAGGCUCGUUGCUCAUCCUAAAGGCUUCGAAUUACGUAGAUUUAGGUAGCUUAGGUUUUUUAUACGAGAAAAACAAAUUAAGUGCCCUGGCGCUGAUAGGCUUAUAUAUCGUAGAUUCCGUGAUCGUCCAAUCGCGUACAGGUGCAGUAUUCGAUCGUUGUUCAAUCGCAUCGUCACCGGGUCGCUCGCUUCUUGGACGUUUCGAUUAUUCAAGUCAUUGAACGUUUUGCUUUCGGAAGUCGAUAGUUCCCUUUGCAUUUUAAUCCGUUUAUCGUUCGAUGUGUUUCGUCGAUUCUAACAUAGGUCUUUAUGUUUAUCAUUCUGCACGACUGUGAAAGAUAGAAAGAAACGCAAAGAGAAGAAACUAGAAAACAACGUUUAUACCGUCGAUAGGAAGAAGGAAGAGCUACGAUAGAAUCGACAGCGGAAUUAAACAUGUAAUUAUAAUUUCAAAUGGCCGAUUAGAAUGGUAAAGAAAGCCACGACUUGCCGCGAAUAAUUAAUGACAGUGAAGCAGACGGAAACGUGCAAUCCGAUGACGGGAAGCGUAGCUUUUACGUGGUAUAACCAGCUGUAACGGCGACGAGUUCGAGAUCCGCGUUGAACAUUCACUGGAAUAUCGGAUUCGUCGAAUCCUCGUUGACAUCUUCAGAUAGAAAUAAAAGAUACGCGCGUAGAGAGAGAUCUUUGAAACCCACGACCAUUACCGCUCCUUUUGUAGUUGGUUCUCGAGUUUCGGAGAACACAGACCGGCUGCUUGUUCCAACGGGAUCCAUCGGGUUUCUCGCGACUCGCUCUCGUCGUCCUUUCUCAGGAGCAGGAGUAACGCAAUCCACACAGGUUAAAAGUACACGACUACACACACUAGACCAUCGUACAUUAUCAAAUACAUAUAAACACACGUAAGCAAAUUACGCGCAGAUGCAUGCCCUUGUGCGCGAAAUACAAACAGUGAGUUAGAGAUAAAGAAGAAGAAGAAAAAAAAAACAUAAAAAAGAAAAAAAGAUACGAGAUACAUUCGUUGGCGAAAGAGUAUAUGUCGUGGAAGUAUGAUGAAAAAGAGGAGAAUGAUUUGAGAAAAAUGGAAAAAAAUAUAUGAACAUAUAUAUAUUAUAUAUAUUAUAUAUCUAUAUAUUUUUACUUACUUUGAAAACAAACCUUUAAUUGAUUAUUUAUAAUAUAUUCGUGCGUAUGUUGUAUACAUAUGUGUAUAUACAUAUAUUAUAUCGUAGCAUCGUGGUGUACCAUUCGAAGGUACGUAAACCUUGACGAUCGCGUUUUCCACGAGGAACGACGCGUAUCGUGGAACGCGAGAUCCGCAAGGCUCGUGCGUUUUCGAAUAUCGUCGAUGAAAGGCAACGUGUACGCGUGCACACACACACACACGUUCAACAAUUUUUCCAGGGAAAGACCAGGCAUCUUUUUGUAAUAACGUCCGCGUUUGUCUGUGACAAGCGCCAUUACACAAUUAAUAAGCGCGACCGAACACACAAGACAAGUUUCUAUUUUUAAGGCCGAGCGAAAUUCGCUUUGGCAUCGCUCGAUCGGAACGUGAUCGCGAACGGCUGCGCAACAUCGACUGGAAUCGUUUCAAUUUUCACGCGCCCAUAUUCGAAAAACGUUAUUGGCUUGUCCUGGCCGAUCCUUCCUUUCUUUCAUCGUGUGCACGCGUUUACGUCGAUAGUUUGGAUCGCAGGCGGUUUAUUUGCAGCAUCGAUGGAGGCGAAUAAGAUUAAGAAAGAACGCGAGAUGCUCGCGUGCAAGUGAAACCAAGGUCGGGGUAAAUUAAGUGCAACAAAUACUCUGCGUAUAGAACGAACAUGGAACGAACAGGCAAUCGGAGAAAAUUAAAAUAUUCAGUGGUUAUCGUAAUGGCGAGGGAAUUUACCGUGGCAACGAAAGGAAAUUAUGUUUGCAACUAUGAACGGAACAGGACGAGACCGAAUCAUUCCAAGUAUUUGUCGUUUGCACUUGAUUUACCUCGAUCGUAUUUAAUCCACUGUACGGAGUGGGCUAUAUCCGAUCUAUCCGAGUCGAUUUUUCACGUAGACUCGAUGACGAUCGACCGCGAGACGUUGAUCUCUCGCGGUAUCCUUUUGUAUUUUUCGAAAAGGGGACAAGUCCUCGUUUGAGAUUUUAUGGCAUAAUAAAAGAAGAGAGUCAGGCAACGCUGAUUGCCCGAUACAAAACACGUGUCACAUCACGAUGUACAUAGAAAUAUAUCCGAGCUAUGGUGGUGAGGCUCUUUUAUAUAUAUAUAUAUAUAUAUAUAUAUAUAUAUAAAACAAACAAAUACUAAUAAUAAAAGAAAAAAGGGAAGAAAAAAAGAAGGAAAAGAGAAUGAUUUGGAAAUUAACGUGGACUUCUCGGCGGGACCGGUCCAACAGUUUCUUUCGCGAGCCGAAACUUUAGCGAACGCUCGGCGGUGUUUCCUUCGCAACACUUGUUCGGUCCGAUGAACGAUCGAUAUCCUUUUCUACGUUUGUGCCAGCGUGUCGACCGCUGUGCCUCGUCGAGUCGACGAGUCAAUUUCGGGGAACCAAAAGAAAUUCGAAGAUACGAGGAGAACUACGGAGAAAUCGGAUCGACUGGACGAGGCACCGUGACUUUUGUCGGCGAUUCAACGGGUGCUCGCUGGAUCGAAACGAGAUCGAUGGUUGAAAAGGUGGAUGCGAAUCAUUGGAUGGUUUAGCGAUUGAAGAAUCGAGGAAAGAGAGAAUUUUAAGGGGGCGAGAAACGGUUAGGAAGAGAAAAGAAAAGAAUGAUACGAGACGAGAGAAGAUAACGUGUAAAGUUGCCUUAGUUUUUCUACAAGUUGAACAGGUGCGAUAUGUGAGCGAGAGAGAGCGAGAGAGAGAGAGAGAGUGCGUGCAAGAAAGAGAAAGUAGAAAGGUGGAGGAACAGAGAGGGACGAGAUAUUUCGUACGGUGCGAAUCGUCGAUAAACGAUCGAUCGACGAUCAACGAGAAUAUAUUGUACGACGGCAAAA